AUUUUAAAUAUAAUUUAUAAAUUUGUUAUUUAUUAUUGACAGAAAUGUCACCGUUGCGCCAGAAUGGAGUCAUCGUUCCAGAUACACCAAGCGACUCUUCAACAACACAAUAAGAUUGUGUAUACUUACAAUCCACAUCUGAAAAUUUCUUAGCAUGGGUAGACGCUACGUCUGCUGAAGCUUGUGAUAGGAAGAAGAAAGGAAAAUUGAAGCGGAUUGAUAUUCCCAGCUUCGAUUUGGGUAUUGACGAUGAAAAUGUGGUCAUAUCCAAUAAGAAAUCAUCUGGAUUCACGAAUGGCGAGGUUGUUGUGAUAGAUCAAAUGUUGUCAAAUAAGGAAAACAAUGUUGUUGUAACUCCAACAAAAGUGAUUUCAGAUUGCAAAGAACCGCAAAGCCGCUCCAGACUUUGGUUCAGAAUCCAAGUGCAUUAAAUGU